GCCCGUGUCCGCCCGGAGGAGCGGGCGGCAGAGGAGGAGGAGGCCCGGCCGGCGGGUCUCGGCGCGGCCCGGCUGCAGGAGGGCGCGGGGAGCCCCGGGGGAGGCGGGCGCUGUGCGCCCCCCAGGGCGGGCGCAGCCUCCCCGGAACCUCCCGCUCCCUCCGCAGCUCCAGCAGAAGGGCCGGCGGCAGCGCCUGGUCGCCGAGGACGGGAGUGCCCCUGCGGUGCUGGGGGCUGGAGGUGCCGGCUGUGGGCACCGCGCCCCUGGGCAGCUGUGACCUCUUGGCUGCAGGCUCCCAGAGCAGCAGCGGGAACCUCUGGAAACGUGGCGAGGGAUUUCAACAGCUGGAGCCCUUAUGGGACAUCCCCGUGGUGGGCUUAGUCAACAGCCUCAAGUUCUCAGCAGCUGGUGACUUCCUGGGGUCUCGGGCAGGAGCACAGGCUUGGCCGGUGGUGGGGGCUCAAAGAAGCUAAACCCAGCAUUUGCAUCAUCCCCCUGAAGUGGAGGACCACAGCCCUGAAGGCCCCAGACAGCUCCUGGCCCCUGAGCCCUUGGCCCCAGAGCCCCUGACACAGAGGAACUGACACAGCUCAGUCCUGGGACUUGGACCAUGUCAUCGUAGCUCCCUUGUGAAGCCUUUCACAGCUGUGCCACCCACUGGGUUAAGACUUCGAUGUCUGGGAGUGGUGCAGGAUAGAAGUCCAUGAACCCGGUCAGGGUUUCCUUCGUGGAUUGACCUUUUGCCCUUCCCUACUUGACCCAAACGGUUGUGUGGUCCUAGUCCCUGCAGAUUCGCUUUGCAGGGUUCCAGCUCCCGCGGUCCUUUCCCCCUUUAAGCUCCAUUGGCUGGAAAAGGAUGCAGGUGCAGGAGCCUGAGAAAGCAGUUCCCAAUGUCAUGAACCUGGUGGAACCUGGUGGCUCCUGCUGGUCCCUGGGGACAACAAGCACCCUGUAGCAAAGUACCUGGAGUGCUCUGAGUCCAGAGACUUGAAAGCGUUUUCUGCAGAACCCCUCCUUGUUUACCCCACCCACAACCCUGGGCCGCCAGGCUACCUCAGUGACACAGAGACCUUGACCAUCUGGGGCAAUGAAACCACGUCAAGGGACUGCGACAGCACACGCUCCUGGACAUCCCAGCAGCAGGGCGAGAUCCACAGCGACGCCCAGAGCAAGGAUGCCCGGCCUUCCCAGUCAUCUCUCAACGUGCCAUCCUCCAGGGAUGAACUCUGCCUGCCUGCUUUCCCUGGGACUCUGCUGACAGCUGAACCUGCUUUAGCUUUUCACCCUGGAAAGCUGUAGAGCAGCUCUUCAUGUGGUCUCCUUCCCACGGCUUUGAACAGCAAAGCACAGUGGUUGGUCCUGACAACUAACCAAGCCCCUCGGUCUGGGUAGGAGAUGGUGGUAAGAAGCUUGGUGUGGCCUUCAGAAGCAGGACAUCUGUGUGCUGGUGAGCAUCCAGCUUGUUGUCAUGUUUCCCUGCGGAUGCGAGUACCACGUUACUAAGUUGUUCCAUCUCGGCUGGAGCUGUGGUGGGAAAGGUGCACCAGAAGAGCAGGGUCCCAGCUUGGCGUAACGCCCGUGGCCACAAUCUAGCUGAUUGGUCAUUUUAUCUUCAUGCACGGGGGGUGGGUGUGUGUGGACAGAAAUGUCUAUUUAGCAGGUUCUGCCUGUGCUGACAAGGGCUGUUUUCAGUUCCUUGGCAGGUGUUGCCUGAGCUUUUUUCCUACUCAGAAUUAACCGUGUUUUGCAAAAGCAGGAGCCAGUUGAAGCACUUGGUGUUCUUCUGCUUUUUUCCACUUUCCAUGCGCUUAUUUUAUCUUUGACUCACCUAACGGGCUUGAAAACUGAGCACAGGUGGGAACACCAGCUUGACCCACCCUUGA